ACUUCCGUCUGCGUGGGGCCCACAUCCUGGAGCGCCCAGGCUUCCGAGGGGCAGACGGUGGGACCUGGUCCGGGCUGAGGUCCUGGCGGGUGAGCAGGAUCUUCGCCGUGCGGCGCAGAGGGUGACAGUGGAGAAGGUGACCAGAAGCCAGAAGGAGCCUAUGUGAAAGCACGCAAUGAAUACUUACAGCAUCCACAUGUCUGCUUCCACCAGGAGUGCUGAGCUGUGUGGUAACUUUAUUUUAACCUUUUGAAGAACUGUCAGACUCUUUUCUGAAGCGGCUACACCAUUGCAUAAUCCCACCAGCAAUAUAUGACCCAGGACUUCUCCAUGAAGACUUUCUAGACUUGUCUAUUCAAAGAUAAUCAUUCCCAACGGCAAACAAUUC
rnacentral:lncRNA from 1 species